rnacentral:antisense_RNA from 1 species
GACAGAAGAGCUCCUUGGCACUGGAUGCCUCCGGGUCUGGUUGAGAGAGGAAUGGUUAGGAGAUUGUUCUGAGGAUAUGCAGACAUCAUCCAAAGCUUCCUACAUUCAGAUGAGGACAGAGGUUGGGCUAGAGCUUUGUAUGCUUGUUACCUAAGUAUGGUUCUGACCAUGUAAGCAGAUCACAGAAGCUGGAGGCAAAUAAUGCCAAGAUGGGAAAGCCACAUAAUGGAAGGAUCCCAGAUUUCAGAGCUGUCACUUGGAGGAGGGGCACACAGUGAAGGUGUCUAUCUAACCCACACCAUAUCUUCAUGAAGUGGCCAUAUGGAUUUGAUCCCUAUCCUUCAGAGGUGCUCAGCCUAAGGGAACAUGGGUAGAAGAUUAAGCACUGACCAGGCUCAAGUUCGUACAUUCCAACUUGUUGUUUGGGCCUUGUUGGACAUAACCAAAGUCUGGAUGGCAGGGUGAAAAUUGGAUAAACAGCCACACUGACUCAGG